rnacentral:rRNA from 1 species
GACGAACGCUGGCGGCGUGCCUAACACAUGCAAGUCGAGCGAUGAAGCCUUCGGGGCUGAUUAGCGGCGGACGGGUGAGUAACACGUGGGUAACCUGCCUCAAAGAGGGGGAUAGCCUCCCGAAAGGGAGAUUAAUACCGCAUAAAGCAGUGCUUUCGCAUGAGAGUGUUGCUAAAGGAGUAAUCCGCUUUGAGAUGGGCCCGCGGCGCAUUAGCUAGUUGGUGAGGUAACGGCUCACCAAGGCGACGAUGCGUAGCCGACCUGAGAGGGUGAUCGGCCACAUUGGAACUGAGACACGGUCCAGACUCCUACGGGAGGCAGCAGUGGGGAAUAUUGCACAAUGGGCGAAAGCCUGAUGCAGCAACGCCGCGUGAGUGAAGAAGGCCUUCGGGUUGUAAAGCUCUGUCUUUUGGGACGAUAAUGACGGUACCAAAGGAGGAAGCCACGGCUAACUACGUG